rnacentral:rRNA from 1 species
GACGAACGCUGGCGGCGUGCUGAACACAUGCAAGUCGAACGGAAAGGCCCUGCUUUUGUGGGGUGCUCGAGUGGCGAACGGGUGAGUAACACGUGAGUAACCUGCCCUUGACUUUGGGAUAACUUCAGGAAACUGGGGCUAAUACCGGAUAGGAGCUCCUGCUGCAUGGUGGGGGUUGGAAAGUUUCGGCGGUUGGGGAUGGACUCGCGGCUUAUCAGCUUGUUGGUGGGGUAGUGGCUUACCAAGGCUUUGACGGGUAGCCGGCCUGAGAGGGUGACCGGCCACAUUGGGACUGAGAUACGGCCCAGACUCCUACGGGAGGCAGCAGUGGGGAAUAUUGCACAAUGGGCGGAAGCCUGAUGCAGCAACGCCGCGUGCGGGAUGACGGCCUUCGGGUUGUAAACCGCUUUCGCCUGUGGCGAAGCGUGAGUGACGGUAAUGGGUAAAGAAGCACCGGCUAACUACGUG